rnacentral:lncRNA from 1 species
GCACGGUGCUGGGGCUGGGACGAGAAAGGCCCUGCCCACAGCCUCGCCCUGCGGCCCAGAAAACACUUGUAAGGCCGGAGCCCAAGCCGCCAUCUUUUCUGCAGGUGCUGUUUGGGAGAAGGUUCUAGGACAUCUUGGAAUCAUUAGAGGCUCAGCCACGUGGAUGCAGGGAAUGCUGUGCACCUGCGGCCUCCAGACCCCAGAACGGCUCUUGUGGGCCUCAUCAUCUCCAGGCUGAGCCAUAAGCUGUGUCCUCCUGGGAACACAGACUUUCUCUUCCAACAUCAUGGGC